CAGUAGCCACGGUAACACCGAGGGUGCAAGCGUUAAUCGGAAUUGCUGGGCGUAAAGCGCGCGUAGGUGGUUUGUUAAGUUGGAUGUGAAAGCCCCGGGCUCAACCUGGGAACUGCAUCCAAAACUGGCAAGCUAGAGUACGGUAGAGGGUGGUGGAAUUUCCUGUGUAGCGGUGAAAUGCGUAGAUAUAGGAAGGAACACCAGUGGCGAAGGCGACCACCUGGACUGAUACUGACACUGAGGUGCUAAAGCGUGGGGAGCAAACAGGAUUAGAUACCCCAGUAGUCCCUGUCUCUUAUAC
rnacentral:rRNA from 1 species